AGCGAACGCUGGCGGCAGGCCUAACACAUGCAAGUCGAACGAACCCUUCGGGGUUAGUGGCGGACGGGUGAGUAACACGUGGGAACGUGCCUUUAGGUUCGGAAUAACUCAGGGAAACUUGUGCUAAUACCGAAUGUGCCCUUCGGGGGAAAGAUUUAUCGCCUUUAGAGCGGCCCGCGUCUGAUUAGCUAGUUGGUGAGGUAAUGGCUCACCAAGGCUACGAUCAGUAGCUGGUCUGAGAGGAUGACCAGCCGCAUUGGGACUGAAACACGGCCCAAACUCCUACGGGAGGCAGCAGUGGGGAAUCUUGCGCAAUGGGCGAAAGCCUGACGCAGCCAUGCCGCGUGGAUGAUGAAGGUCUUAGGAUUGUAAAAUCCUUUCACCGGUGAAGAUAAUGACUGUAGCCGGAGAAGGAGCCCCGGCUAACUUCGUGCCAGCCGCCGCGGUAAUAU
rnacentral:rRNA from 1 species